rnacentral:misc_RNA from 1 species
AAGAAGAAGAAGAAGAAGACGACAAUGAAAUUGGAGAAGGAAAUAUGAUUCUUAUAAUAGAAAUAAGUGAAGAUAACAAUCCAUCUCAAUUACAGAGCAAUUCUGUUAUAAAUGCAAGAGACUAAAGAAAAUCAAUAAGUAAAUCCCUUCCCCAGGAGAGCUAGCUGCUACAUUUCCUCCAAGCUCUAACCUGGAAAAUCAAAAUUAGCAGAAAUGAAUCAUGCCCCUUCAUGCCUCUUCAUUCCCUUGUAUAGCAUUAACCCACUACUGAUCUGAUAGCACGUGUCUCCUCCUCUAUCAGAGAGUUUAGUGGUGUAACCAAAUUAUGAUCAUCCAAG